GAUGAACGCUGGCGGCGUGCCUAAUACAUGCAAGUCGAGCGAACAGACGAGGAGCUUGCUCCUCUGACGUUAGCGGCGGACGGGUGAGUAACACGUGGAUAACCUACCUAUAAGACUGGGAUAACUUCGGGAAACCGGAGCUAAUACCGGAUAAUAUAUUGAACCGCAUGGUUCAAUAGUGAAAGACGGUUUUGCUGUCAUUUAUAGAUGGAUCCGCGCCGCAUUAGCUAGUUGGUAAGGUAACGGCUUACCAAGGCGACGAUGCGUAGCCGACCUGAGAGGGUGAUCGGCCACACUGGAACUGAGACACGGUCCAGACUCCUACGGGAGGCAGCAGUAGGGAAUCUUCCGCAAAGGGCGAAAGCCUGACGGAGCAACGCCGCGUGAGUGAUGAAGGUCUUCGGAUCGUAAAACUCUGUUAUUAGGGAAGAACAAAUGUGUAAGUAACUAUGCACGUCUUGACGGUACCUAAUCAGAAAGCCACGGCUAACUACGUG
rnacentral:rRNA from 1 species